rnacentral:RNase_P_RNA from 1 species
GAGUUGGCUUGGCAGUUGCGUAUUGCUUUGCAAUAUGAGGAAAGUCCGAGCAGCACAGAGCAGGAUGACGGCUAACGGCCGCCGAGGGUGACCUUAGGGAAAGUGCAACAGAAAUAUACCGCCUCUUAUGAGGUAAGGGUGGAAAGGCGAGGUAAGAGCUCACCGAGAGAGUGGAGACAUUCUCUGCCAUGUAAACCCCAUCCGCUGCAACAUCGACUAAAGGGUUGUUUGCUCGACACAUAACUUUGAAGGAUGGCUGGAGCGCUGGAGCAAUUCAGCGUCGAGAUAGAUAAUUGCCCAUGACAGAACUCGGCUUACUGCCA